GGGAUUUGAACCUAGACUCCAAGGUUUGCGUUCACGUCACUGACCACUAUGCUACUACGCUAGUAUAGAUUUUUUUUCCCCAAUAAUGAUGGUGCUUUGCCAGCUUACACGCACAUAGACUAUUCCACUAGAUACAUGUUACCUCGCACCCGCACAAAUACAUAGUUACCAAGUGACUCUGCUCGCGCAAUAUUGAGCAAAAAUUUCGGCAAAUAGAAAGAAACCUAUAGUUCC
rnacentral:misc_RNA from 1 species